rnacentral:rRNA from 1 species
UACGUAGGGUGCAAGCGUUGUCCGGAAUUACUGGGCGUAAAGAGCUCGUAGGUGGUUUUGUCGCGUUGUCCGUGAAAACUCACAACUCAAUUGUGGGCGUGCGGGCGAUACGGGGCAGACUGGAGGUAUGCAGGGGAGAACGGAAUUCCUGGUGUAGCGGUGAAAUGCGCAGAUAUCAGGAGGAACACCGAUGGCGAAGGCAGGUCUCUGGGCAUUAACUGACGUGAGGAGCGAAAGCAUGGGGAGCGAACAGG